CAGCAGCCGUGGCCGUAUUCCAAAUCUGUUUAAAAAACGAGCAAUAGCCGCUGGCAGCCCGCCAAUCCUGACCAAUACUUCAGGUGUUGGCGUGGCGCAUCCCCCCAAGUGGCGCGCCGAUAAAGGUGCUCAGGGACCGCGUACCUUUGUUUUACUCCUAAUGGUCUUAACCCGGAUUCACCCCCCAGAACCCGG
rnacentral:sRNA from 2 species